AGCAGCCGCGGUAAUUCCAGCUCCAAUAGCGUAUAUUAAAGUUGCUGCAGUUAAAAAGCUCGUAGUUGAAUUUCGGGAUCAAUAUGUCGGUCGUGCCUCGGUACGUACUGGUUUAUUGGUUUCUCCUUUCUGAAGAACCAUGAUGUCAUUUAUUUGGUGUCGUGUGGAAUCAGGACUGUUACUUUGAAAAAAUUAGAGUGUUUAAAGCAGGCUCACGCUUGAAUACAUUAGCAUGGAAUAAUGAAAUAGGACGUUUGAUUCUAUUUUGUUGGUUUCUAGGAUCGACGUAAUGAUUAAUAGGGAUAGUUGGGGGCAUUAGUAUUCAAUUGUCAGAGGUGAAAUUCUUGGAUUUAUUGAAGACUAACUACUGCGAAAGCAUUUGCCAAGGAUGUUUUCAUUAAUCAAGAACGAAAGUUAGGGGAUCGAAGACGAUCAGAUACCGUCGUAGUCUUAACCAUAAACUAUGCCGACUAGGGAUCGGAUGAUGUUAAUUUUUUAAUGACUCAUUCGGCGCCUUACG
rnacentral:rRNA from 1 species